rnacentral:sRNA from 1 species
UUAUAUAUAGUAAAAUAAACCCAAUGACUCUAGCAGCCCCAUAAAACUACCACUUUCCUGUAUCAUGUUUUAUUGAAUUUGUUAUUGGUUGCAGUACAAAAAAUAGAGUUCACAUUGUUUUUAACUGAUCUCAAAAUUUUCACAGAUGUUGGCAAUCUGUAAGAAAUUAAAUCUCUUCUCGAUUCCAACAGUGCUGGGAGAGCAGGCAAUUUAGAUAAAAUCCUUCAUCAGUGUUUCCAGUGUCAAGAUACUGUUUCAUUAUAUAGACUUGUUCUGCACUCUAUCCAGGAGUCCAUGGCAAAUGAUGUGGAUAAAGAGCUAAUGAAGCAGAUUCUCUGCCUUGUCAAUGUUAGUCACAAUGGUGUGAGUGAAUCAGAACUGAUGGAACUCUAUCCUGAGAUGUCCUGGACUUUCUUGACCUCCCUUAUUCACAGUUUAUACAAAAUGUGUUUGUUGACUUAUGGAUGUGGCUUGCUUAGGUUUCAACAUCUGCAGGCUUGGGAAACAGUGAGACUGGAGUACCUGGAAGGCCCCACUGUUACUUCUUCAUACAGGC